rnacentral:rRNA from 1 species
AUGCACGCUGGCGGCGUGCCUCAUCCAUGCCAGUCGAGCGAACAGAUGAGGAGCUUGCUCCUCUGACGUUAGCGGCGGACGGGUGAGUAACACGUGGAUAACCUACCUAUAAGACUGGGAUAACUUCGGGAAACCGGAGCUAAUACCGGAUAAUAUAUUGAACCGCAUGGUUCAAUAGUGAAAGACGGUUUUGCUGUCACUUAUAGAUGGAUCCGCGCCGCAUUAGCUAGUUGGUAAGGUAACGGCUUACCAAGGCAACGAUGCGUAGCCGACCUGAGAGGGUGAUCGGCCACACUGGAACUGAGACACGGUCCAGACUCCUACGGGAGGCAGCAGUAGGGAAUCUUCCGCAAUGGGCGAAAGCCUGACGGAGCAACGCCGCGUGAGUGAUGAAGGUCUUCGGAUCGUAAAACUCUGUUAUUAGGGAAGAACAAAUGUGUAAGUAACUAUGCACGUCUUGACGGUACCUAAUCAGAAAGCCACGGCUAACUACGUG